rnacentral:misc_RNA from 1 species
AUUCGGAACAUCAAAUCUGACUCCAUUCUUAUUCAGCCCCCCCAAAAUCCCCUUUUACUAAAUCCCUUUUAAUUCCUCCGGUUUACAGAUUCAUCAAACAUGGAAUUGUUAAAGAUGAAUCACCCUACAACUCAUUCAUUGAUUCAAUUUAACAAACCCAAUUCCGUUUCUGAUUUGAAAUUGAACACUUGUCUCUCCGUUUCUAAGCAGAAUAAGAGAAGGGCGUUUCCUCAUCGUGUUUCGUCUUCUCUGUCUUUAUCAAAUUCAUGCGGCGGAGUUGUGAAAGAGGAUCAGAAAACGGAAGGUGUAUUAUCGGGGAAGAUUGGUGAAUGGAUGAAUGAAUCGGUGGUGGAUAUUGUGAAGAACUUGAAACAAGCGCCGUUGUUGGUUGAGAUUUACAGCGAGGAUGGAAAAGGGGGAGUGAGAAUCAAGACGGAGAGAGCGGUGGAGGAAGACUGGCCGAUUAAGAAAAGUGAAUGGGAGAAGAGAUCACCAGAUGGGCUUAUCUUCGUUGGAGAACUUGGAGGUGAGGAUGAGAAACUUGUAGAGGAAGAAGGAGAAGGGAUAACAAAGGCAUGGGGAGUAGUUGUACAAGGGAAAGGAAUGGAAUGUUCACCAGCUUGUUAUUUGUUGAAAACCAGUAGAGUUGGUGCUGGAAUUGGGAUGGGAUUGUUUUGCACCCAUUUUUGUUUAGCUAAAGUACAGAAUUUUAGGGACACUGCUCUCAUGCAGUUUCAAAAUUCUUGGUUGUUGCAAUGACUAUUCAUCAAAUCAUUAAUUCACCAAAUGUAUAAACAACAUUUUACUCAUAAAGCAUACUACUA